AGCUUUGCGCAGUGGCAGUAUCGUAGCCAAUGAGGUUUAUCCAAGGCGCGGUUAUUGCUAAUUAAAAGUGAUGCUAGUAAUAUUCUCCAUUGAGAUAGAAGAAAUGUUAUUUUUACAGAUAUAAUUCUA
rnacentral:snRNA from 1 species